UAGGGAAUCUUCGGCAAUGGACGAAAGUCUGACCGAGCAACGCCGCGGGAGGGAAGAAGGUUUGCGGAGCGUAAAACUCUGUUGUGAGAGAAGAACAAGGACGUGAGUAACUGAACGUCCCCUGACGGUAUCUAACCAGAAAGCCACGGCUAACUACGUGCCAGCAGCCGCGGUAAUACGGAGGUGGCAAGCGGUGUCCGGAUUUAUUGGGCGUAAAGCGAGCGCAGGCGGUUUCUUAAGUCUGAUGUGAAAGCCCCCGGCUCAACCGGGGAGGGUCAUUGGAAACUGCGAGACUUGAGUGCAGAAGAGGAGAGUUGAAUUCCAUGUGUAGCGGUCAAAUGCGUAGAUAUAUGGAGGAACACCAGUGGCGAAGGCGGCUCUCUGGUCUGUAACUGACGCUGAGGCUCGAAAGCGUGGGGAGCACACAGG
rnacentral:rRNA from 1 species